rnacentral:rRNA from 1 species
UACGGGGGGGGGGCAAGCGUUGUUCGGAAUUACUGGGCGUAAAGGGCUCGUAGGCGGCCAACUAAGUCGGACGUGAAAUCCCCAGGCUCAACCUGGGAACUGCGUCCGAUACUGGAUGGCUUGAAUCCGGGAGAGGGAUGCAGAAUUCCAGGUGUAGCGGUGAAAUGCGUAGAUAUCUGGAGGAACACCGGUGGCGAAGGCGGCAUCCUGGACCGAGAUUGACGCUGAGGCGCGAAAGCCAGGGGAGCAAACGGG